UACGAAGGGGGCUAGCGUUGUUCGGAAUUACUGGGCGUAAAGCGCGCGCAGGCGGCUAUCCAAGUCAGUGGUGAAAGCCCGGAGCUCAACUCCGGAACUGCCAUUGAAACUGUUUAGCUUGAGGACGAGAGAGGUGAGUGGAAUUCCUGGUGUAGCGGUGAAAUGCGCAGAUAUCAGGAGGAACACCAACGGCGAAGGCAGCUCUCUGGGACGUUACUGACGCUGAGACGCGAAAGCGUGGGGAGCAAACAGG
rnacentral:rRNA from 1 species